AUUGACACUCUCAUUUUCUGUAUCUUCCCCUUUUGACACUUCAUUGACAUCAGUCUCCCCAUAAAUGAUGGAACUUUUCUCUUGAGAGUCCUUCACAUCGGAGGUAAAGUUUGGGGAAGAAAUUUUGAUUUCCAAACAGUCAGGUGUUGCGUUGACAUUUCUUUCUGACUGAGAUAGUGGAGUAUUUUCAUUUUUGUUGAGUUCCUUAAAACAUGGAGGAUAUAGAUCAUCCAUCAGGCUAGCUUUACAGCUUCUGCUUCUACUUAAUUUCAAGAUGCUUGAGCCUGGUGAAUCGUCAAGGAGCUCAUAUGUUGAGGAUAAAUUUGCUGGAGAAGGAGGCUCAAAUGUAUGCACACAGUUCAACUCUUUCUCUUCCUUCAAUGGCAAUGUUACUGACUCUCUACUGUCUGCAAACUUUGGUGAUUCAAGGGUUUGGGAAUCCUUUGAGGGAAGUGACAAUGGUUCUUCACUAGGUUCCUUUUCUUCCUUAAAAGAUGAGAAGGGUACAAAGUCUUCGUCUUCUUUACAGGGCAACAAUGUGACUUCUCCAUUUUCCUUGAGUAAAGGUGGUGCUAAUCGUCCAUAGUCGUCUGCUGGAGGUGACACUGUUCCAAUAUCUGCUUUGUCUUCAUUUUCUGCUGUCAUUUCAGCUGGAAACUUAUUUCUCUCUUCAGGAGAUGGAAAUUUGGAUUCUUGUUUUACCUUCGUACUUGAUUCCUUGGUUUCAAUGCAAUGAACUUCCUUGUAUAGGUCUUCUGAAUUAGUUCCAUUACUUUGUUUUUCAAUAUCAUCCCAUCCUUCACAUGAAUCACUUUCACUAUAGUUUGAACUGCGGCCAGCUAACAACCUUGGAGAUGAACUGUUAUGGAGAAAGUUCUCUUCAAACUCCGGCACGCGUAUAAUUUGUUCCUCGGAACUACUCCUGCUAUGUCCAUCUGAACAAGUUCUAAUAUCAGCAUCUAUAGAUGGGGUGUAUGACAAAAUGGACACUUGCAUUGGGCUUUGAUAAUCUGGUGAUCUCCGCACACGCAGAUUUGGGUAGUUUCCUAAACCAACCUGCAUCAAUAAACCUGCAUCGUCUCCAAGUAGCUGUCGCAUAUCUCUAACUUGAGUCUGAGCAAUGUCACGCUGCAUAGUCAAGUCCUUUAUCUCCUUCUCCAUCUGUUCUAUUUGUUUGUUCUUCUCUCGCAGUAAUGCUUCAUAAUCUGAAGGGAACAAAGAAGUUCUAGGACUCCUUAACUCGUUCUCCAAUCUCGUCAACUCCCUCUGCAAAUGCUUCACUAACACUUUAUCUGACACAACUACAUUCACUUGGGCAGUAGUAGUUACUUCCUUGGCACAACUUGCAAACAGAAGAGUAUUCCUUGAUUGCUCAACAUGACUUCGUGCAGGGCUCAUUGUACAGAUGAUGGCAGUUCUACCGUUUCCACCCAAUGAAGGUUGUAGUAUCCUAGUUAACUUUGAAUCUCGGAAAGGAAUGUGGCCGUUUCUACCCUUGCUUAGCUUGCGUAUAACAGUGCCCAAAGUCAGCAAACUGCGAUUUAUGUGACAGCCUUCUUUCAGCCUUGUGCCAG
rnacentral:misc_RNA from 1 species